AAAACACCUGCUAUCAAGAGGUUCAUGGGCAAAUACACAUAGCCACUCAAAACACCUGCAAUCAAGAGGUUCAUGGGCAAAUACACAUAGCCACUCAAAAUACCUGCUAUCAAGAGGUUCAAGGGCAAAUACACAUAGCCACUCAAAACACCUGCUAUCAAGAGGUUCAAGGGCAAAUACACAUAGCCACUCAAAACACCUACUAUCAAGAGGUUCAAGGGCAAAUACACAUAGCCACUCAAAACACC